rnacentral:rRNA from 1 species
UGGGCAGGUUGAAGGUUGGGUAACACUAACUGGAGGACCGAACCGACUAAUGUUGAAAAAUUAGCGGAUGACCUGUGGCUGGGGGUGAAAGGCCAAUCAAACCGGGAGAUAGCUGGUUCUCCCCGAAAGCUAUUUAGGUAGCGCCUCGUGAAUUCAUCUCCGGGGGUAGAGCACUGUUUCGGCUAGGGGGCCAUCCCGGCUUACCAACCCGAUGCAAACUGCGAAUACCGGAGAAUGUUAUCACGGGAGACACACGGCGGGUGCUAACGUCCGUCGUGAAGAGGGAAACAACCCAGACCGCCAGCUAAGGUCCCAAAGUCAUGGUUAAGUGGGAAACGAUGUGGGAAGGCCCAGACAGCCAGGAUGUUGGCUUAGAAGCAGCCAUCAUUUAAAGAAAGCGUAAUAGCUCACUGGUCGAGUCGGCCUGCGCGGAAGAUGUAACGGGGCUAAACCAUGCACCGAAGCUGCGGCAGCGACACUGUGUGUUGUUGGGUAGGGGAGCGUUCUGUAAGCCUGUGAAGGUGUGUCGUGAGGCAUGCUGGAGGUAUCAGAAGUGCGAAUGCUGACAUAAGUAACGAUAAAGCGGGUGAAAAGCCCGCUCGCCGGAAGACCAAGGGUUCCUGUCCAACGUUAAUCGGGGCAGGGUGAGUCGACCCCUAAGGCGAGGCCGAAAGGCGUAGUCGAUGGGAAACGGGUUAAUAUUCCCGUACUUGGUGUUACUGCGAAGGGGGGACGGAGAAGGCUAUGUUGGCCGGG